rnacentral:rRNA from 1 species
ACGAACGCUGGCGGCGUGCCUAAUACAUGCAAGUCGAGCGGACGGAUGGGAGCUUGCUCCCAGACCGUCAGCGGCGGACGGGUGAGUAACACGUGGGCAACCUGCCUGUAAGACUGGGAUAACUCCGGGAAACCGGGGCUAAUACCGGAUAACUCUUUCCCUCACAUGAGGGAAAGCUGAAAGAUGGCAUCUCGCUAUCACUUACAGAUGGGCCCGCGGCGCAUUAGCUAGUUGGUGAGGUAACGGCUCACCAAGGCGACGAUGCGUAGCCGACCUGAGAGGGUGAUCGGCCACACUGGGACUGAGACACGGCCCAGACUCCUACGGGAGGCAGCAGUAGGGAAUCUUCCGCAAUGGACGAAAGUCUGACGGAGCAACGCCGCGUGAGUGAUGAAGGUUUUCGGAUCGUAAAACUCUGUUGUCAGGGAAGAACAAGUACCGGAGUAACUGCCGGUACCUUGACGGUACCUGAACAGAAAGCCACGGCUAACUACGUG